rnacentral:rRNA from 1 species
AGUGAACGCUGGCGGUAGGCCUAACACAUGCAAGUCGAACGGCAGCACAGUAAGAGCUUGCUCUUACGGGUGGCGAGUGGCGGACGGGUGAGGAAUACAUCGGAAUCUACUUUUUCGUGGGGGAUAACGUAGGGAAACUUACGCUAAUACCGCAUACGACCUACGGGUGAAAGCAGGGGAUCUUCGGACCUUGCGCGAUUGAAUGAGCCGAUGUCGGAUUAGCUAGUUGGCGGGGUAAAGGCCCACCAAGGCGACGAUCCGUAGCUGGUCUGAGAGGAUGAUCAGCCACACUGGAACUGAGACACGGUCCAGACUCCUAAGGGAGGCAGCAGUGGGGAAUAUUGGACAAUGGGCGCAAGCCUGAUCCAGCCAUACCGCGUGGGUGAAGAAGGCCUUCGGGUUGUAAAGCCCUUUUGUUGGGAAAGAAAAGAAGCAGGUUAAUACCCCGCUGUUCUGACGGUACCCAAAGAAUAAGCACCGGCUAACUUCGUG